UCUGUUGUCCUCUCUGGGAAGCUACCCUGUAUGGACCACAUGGCAUCUGAUGGCUAGAAUGCUGGGAACAUUGAGAGAUCUAGCAGGCAUGGAAAAGUGCUACCAUUUUCUCUCUGCCAUGUGGAACAGCAACAAGGACACAUAAACUUGAAGGAAGGUCAGCCAAACCGCUAUCCUGUUACCCAUGAAUAGAGGACAUACCAACUUGCUCUUAGGUAUUCACCCAAGACUAACUUUAAAGGAGAAUGUUGAACUUCAUUAACAUUAAAAUAUACCAUCAGAAGAAUGUAAAGGCAAGUCACAAUAAUGGAGGAGAUAUCUGCAAUACAGUUUUGCUUAAAAGCUAUAUAAGCUGCAGACACAGUCUAAGAAGAGAGAUGAUAUGUUUGACAGUCCAUAUAUGGAUAUCUAAUUUUUGGAUUAUGACAUCAUGAAAACAGGAGACCACCAAAGUAACUUCCAAAUGUGAAUGUGGCAAAGAGCUCCAAGGAAAAGUACAUUGCCUGCUACAGCCUAUGAAAUAUGUAUUAACAGAGAAGUCUUCUAUUGAAGAUGAAAUUUAUAAAGAGUCUUUCAUUCUCUGCCAUAAGAAAACCUCAUAUAUCACUCUUCAAAAAGAGGGAGGAAGAGUUCACUGGAAUCACAUAAUAAAAUGUCAGUACUGGGUGGGUGAUUAAAAACACCAUCUAAAUUCUAUUUGGGCAGGACACUUGAGAAUCCAGAUCAAAUAGGCCAUGUAUCAAGAGAGCCGACUAAAUGUCACAAUGUUCCAUAGUGACAGAUUAGAUAAGUGCCAGAGAAAUAUAUAGGCCUAAAACAAGAAUUACUAAGCAGACAUCUUCAAAUAUGCUUCUUAAGCAGGGACAUUUUAAAUGGUGGGAUUUAUCAUUAAUAUGUUUAUAGGAUCUUUUAAAUUUUAUUUAACUUUUGACAUAUCUCAAAGAAUGCAAUCUAUCAGAUAUCCCAGUAUUUAACAAUUUCUCUUGAAUAUGAUGCUAAAGAGGCCCAGCUUAGAUGAGAGAAUAUGGUGUUUCCACACAAAUUUGAUGCUUUCCGUCCUGAAAUGUUUUAUCAUUAUCCUAUUUUUUUCAUUUGUUGGCUUUCAUACUGUUCUCCAAAAGUCUAGUUUUACAAUGGAAUCCCAUUAAUAAAUAAUUUAGCAUAUAGUCAUAUAAGAACUUAGGAUUUUGAAGAUUUCAGGGGAUAACCAAACAAAGUGACAAGGGACAGCCAUUUCUGAAGAUGAAAUAGAGGAAACUUGUAAUAAGAGAAAUACAUUUGGGCACUAUUUUCCCACUGGUCUAUGCAAACUCAGAAUGACCUUAACUUCUUCACACCAUUCCACUCAGAAGUAAAACUAGUGAUUUAUUUUUGAUGCAUAUGUCUGAACUCAAGCAUGUCCUCCCCUUCUUUUCUUUUUUUUUUGUUUUUGUUUUUCUUCUAUGCUACUCUGUAUCUGCUGCAUUGCUGCCCAA